GUCCACGCCGUAAACGAUAACCACUAGAUGUUAGUCCGGCUUAGCUGGAUUAGUGUCGUAGCUAACGCGUUAAGUGGUUCGCCUGGGGAGUACGGUCGCAAGGCUAAAACUUAAAAGAAUUGACGGGGGUCCGCACAAGCGGUGGAACAUGUGGUUUAAUUCGACACUACGCGAGAAACCUUACCUGGGCUUGACAUGUGCUUGACAGCUGUAGAAAUACAGUCUUCUGGAUUUCGGUUCAGACAGGUACACAGGUGCUGCAUGGCUGUCGU
rnacentral:rRNA from 1 species